rnacentral:misc_RNA from 1 species
ACCCAAACCUGUAAUUUCAUAUCCAACUGCAAAUUUAGAAACUAGGCAUAUUUUAGCGUCAUAUGGAGAUGUCUGUGCUAAAAUUAAAGAACAUGAAAUGUUACACACAGUGCAUUACGUUGUUGCUUUUAAACAAAGCAUGGAAAAAAGGAUAGAAGAUAUAAUGAAAAAAAUCGCAAGGUGUAUUUUGAGCAUAAAGAUUAUCCCUAUUCAGGAAUACCUUUUAUUUUUUCUUCAUCUAGUAUUCUUUACUGCCAACAGGGUAAAGACAAAAAUUGUGCAGCAAAAAAUAAGUACAGAAUGAAAAAAAACCAAGAAGCAACCGCAGAUCAUUCUUUCCAGAAAAAGCGAGUUCUUAUGCAGGAUACCAAGAAGUUUGAUUGUCCUGCCAAUAUUUCUCUAAAAGAAAUAGUUGAAUUCCCUUCUUUUAAGCUGGAUAGAGAUUCUUUAAGAGGUAGAAGAGAAGCAUCAAAGAAAUUGCAUUCAGCUUUGACAACUCUAACUGAAUUUUCAAUUCUUAGAAAGUAUAUCUUAUUGUUACCUGACAUUUCCGUUCAUAAAAAUCAUCUUAUUAAUGAUGCAGCAGGUUUUAAUCAGCCUUUAUCAAAAGAAAUUAUUACAAAAAUUGGUGAACUUGUUAAAAAUGGUGUCAAUACGGUUCCGGAAAUGAGACGUCACCUGAACGCCUUUGUUCAUCUGGAACUUCAGUCAGAUGUGACUGCAAAGAAAUCCAACAAACGAUUUUUUCCGCGUGAUGAAACAAUUGCUAAUCAUAUAAAGAAAGCUAGACAAAGUCUUCGCAGAUCUUUGAUAGAUCAAGAAUGUCUUCGUGAAAAGAUAAAUGAAUGGAAACUCUAUUUUCCAGAUGCGUUAAUAAUGUUUCGGCCAAAAGGAGAAUGCAAUCUAGAAGACAAUGGUCCAUAUCCUAAAGAUUCUUUUUUGUUUAUUUAUCGAGAUGCAUAUCAACAAAGAUUACUCUUACGAUAUGGGAAUGAGCUUGCCUUUCUGGAUGCAACAUAUCGUACAACGCGAUAUGCGCUUCCACUUUUUUUUCUUGUUGUCAAAACAAAUAUUGAUUAUCAAGUUGUUGCAAUUUUUGUUUGUGAAAAUGAAACAACUGAGGCAAUUACAGAAGCUCUAAUGUACAUCAAAAAGUGGAAUCCAUUGUUUCAACCAACUUAUUUUUUAACUGAUUACAGCAAUGAAGAAAUAAAUUCACUUGAAUCUGUUUUCCCUGGAUGCCAGGUACAUAUUUGUGACUUUCAUCGUGAACAAGCAUGGGAACGAUGGCUUUCUAAAACCGCUAAUGGAUGUUGCUUGGUGAAAAAUAAAGUAAAGGAAAAACUUCGAGCUAUUGCAUAUGCAAAAACUGAUGAAAUUUUCCAAAAAAAAGUGCAGGAAUUAGAAGAGUCGCAAGAGUGGCAAAAUAGUCCAAAACUGGCAGAAUAUUUGAAACAUACAUGGUUGUGUAUUCAAAAGAGAUGGGCGUUUGCAUACAGGCAAGAUCGUCUCUUGCUGAAUGUUAACACCAACAAAACCAAACAAAACCAAACUUUCAAAUACAGCUUCCUUGAAAAAAGAAAGAAUUCUUCACUAACUUCUAUGCUUAAUAUUUGCAUUGAAGAAUUUCUUCCUCAUAACUAUGACAGCUAUUGUGAUAAAAAUAAAAAGGCGCAUUCAUCUUACAGAAAAUACAAUAACAAUAUACCAGAAUAUUUAGUUAAUCGUCCUCGACCUUUAGUGAGACAUUGCAUGAUGUUAAUAGAUAAACUACAAGGUGUCGACUUAAGUGGUAUUAUUUCUGUAACAGAAAGAUUGUACAGUGUUGCUUCAUUUAAUUCAAAUAGUAGAGAAAUUUACCAAUGCUACCUUGGUGAUGGUGAAAAUUUGCCCACUUGUUCAUGCCCUAGUUGGUUUGAUUCAGCAUAUCCAUGCAAACAUUUCUUUGGUAUAUUCCUCAAAGAAAAUCUCACAUGGUCUGCACUAGGUACUUUAUAUGCCAACUCACCCUAUUUCACAUUAGAUUUAUUUUUGGAAGAUAAUGAAUAUGCCACUUCAUCUCAACGGUUUCUUCAUUCCAGCAACAUUUUGUUGCAAAAUAAUCUUGUGGCGCAAACAAAAUUAAUGCAAGAUCCAAUUGAGCAAACAGUAGUAAGUGGUCAGAAUAAAAAAGAAAACAAUACAGAGCUAAACUGUCAAGUUAAAAACAAUCAUCCCACUUCUGAAAAAUUUCGUGAACUUAUAAAUCAAAUAACACAAAUGACUUAUUUAUGCAUCUCGCAAAAAGCUAUUGAUAAUUUGUUUGCAGGGCUUAAUCAACUCAAAACAAACUUAGCAGAAAGUCUUCCAGUGGAACAAGGUAUUUUCUUGCGUCCAGAAAAUAAACCAGAUAUUUGGAACAAGUCUCAGUCAAAUUUACCAAGACUUGGACAGCUACCAGUAAGACACAAAAGAAAACUGACUAAAAAAGUUGGUAAAAACUAUGACAUGUAUAAAGCAGCCUCAGUUAUUAGUGUAAUAAAUAAAAAUGAUUCUUUGUUGUCAUGUGACUCUGAGAUAAUUACAUGUCACUCCAUAGAUGAAAAUUGUGAAAUCUUUACAGUUCCCUGUGAAUCUAUUAUUCAAAGUUCCAUUCAAACUGAAGAAGUUUUGAUAAAUGAGAUUUUAAAAGCUAAUGUAUGUAAUGAUGCAAAUAAACAGCAAAACACUGUUCAGCGUAUUAAAUAUCUGAAAUCGUAUUUGAUUGGAAAUAUAGAAUGGAAUGAAAUUGAAAAAGAACAAAUGAUUAAUGAUAAUAUCAUUCAUUUUUGUCAGCAAGUCAUGUCAGUGCAAUUAGGUAUCAAUAUUGGUCUGCAAGAUCCUAUCAAAGGAAAAGUUCUAUCCUUUGAAAUACUUCAAAGCAUUCCAUUUGUUCAAAUUCUACAUGAUGGCAAUCUCCACUGGGUUUGUGUGACCACUUACAAUUGCAAACCAGGAGAGAUAUUUCUUUUUGACAGCCUUUUUCAUGGAUCAGUUUCUUUUGACACAAAAAGACAAAUAUGCUCCAUUCUGCAUUGUGAUCUAAAAUAUAUUGUUAUUAAAGUAUUACCCAUUCAACAGCAAACUAAUGGUGUUGAUUGUGGAAUGUAUGCUAUUACCUGGGCUAGACAAAUCCUUGAGGCAAAGGGUGUACCAUCAACUACAAUAACAUUUGAGCAAAAUAAAAUGCGAAAACAUCUUCUACAUUGUAUAUUAAACAGCCAGUUAGAUGUUUUCCCACUCGCUGUUAAUUCAAAUGGGUUUCGCAGAUGUGGAGCAAAGACAUUCCGCGUACUUUUACAUUGCUCAUGUCGCAUGUUUUGGUCUCCUAAAGAUGAUAAAAUCUUUAACAGACAAAUGGCUCAAUGUAACACUUGCCAAAAAUGGUAUCAUCGCGAAUGCGAAAAGAUACCGCAGAGUGCCUAUGAAACAGAAGAUGAACUAUGGAAUUGUCACAGCUGUAAGAAGAGUUUGUCAUAAAAUUGAGGCUAUAAAAAGAGUUUGUCAUGAAAUGAGGCUUGUAUUGUUUUUUAAUUUUAUAUAUCUGCCAAUAGUUUAAAAAUUAAAUCUUUUUAGGCAUUGUCUUAAGUUGUUGAUAAUUAUUGCAACUAUAGUAUUGUUGCAAUAAACCAUUUUACAUGAUGAUUUAAUGUAGUUUAAAUCUUUCACUAUAGAUUUAUACCAUUUUGAUGACAUGUAUUUUUAACAUUUGGCACAAAUAUACUGUUGUCUUUGUACUGGUAUAAAAUGCCCUAUUUGAUUUGUUUGUGUCAUUGUGCUGGUAAUAUUAUUGACAUUGAACUGCUUAUACCUAAUUGGAAUCGGGCGGUAAGCGUAUCUUGGCUACCUUCACGUUGGUGCUUACUGAUAAAAAUGAUUUCAAAAGGUUAAGUUCAUAUACUUUCCUUUUGAUUCAUAACUAAAUGCCAAGACAAAAAAGAAAAUUAAUCUAAACUGAAAACACUACAAAUUAAUAUUAACCGAAUAAAAAUCCCUUUUUAUAGACGCUAAAUAUUAAAAACUCAAAAUUAAUCUGAGAAACUUUGAUAAAAUGAAUAUAAACUAAUUGUAAAUUUUAAAGAA